CGAGUAGGUGAGUAUGUGUAAGAGGUGGUGGAUGAGUAGGUGAGUAUGUGUAAGAGGUGGUGGAUGAGUAGGUGAGUAUGUAGCUGAGGUGGUGUACGAGGAGGUGAGUAUGUAGCAGAGGUGGUGGACGAGUAGGUGAGUAUGUGUAAGAGGUGGUGGACGAGUAGGUGAGUAUGUGUAAGAGGUGGUGGAUGAGUAGGUGAGUAUGUAGCAGAGGUGGUGGACGAGUAGGUGAGAACGUGUAAGAGGUGGUGGAUGAGUAGGUGAGUAUGUAGCAGAGGUGGUGGACGAGUAGGUGAGUAUGUGUAAGAGGUGGUGGACGAGUAGGUGAGUAUGUGUAAGAGGUGGUGGAUGAGUAGGUGAGUAUGUAGCAGAGGUGGUGGACGAGUAGGUGAGUAUGUGUAAGAGGUGGUGGAUGAGUAGGUGAAUAUUUAGCAGAGGUGGUGUACAAGGAGGUAUGUGUCAUAUGUAGUGGAUGAGGAGGAAGUGUAUGUGUAAGAGGUGGUGGAUGAGUAGGUGAGUAUGUGUAAGAGGUGGUGGACGAGGAGGUAUGUGUCAUAUGUAGUGGACGAGGAGGAAGUGUAUGUGUAAGAGAUGGUGGAUGAGCAGGAAGUGAUGCUGAGGCAGAAUUAAUCUCUCAUUGACUUUGAUUUUGCAGUUGCACAACAUUUUUUUGUUUAUUGUAAUGUGCUUUUCAUUUAGUUUUCCUUAAUCAAUGGGUUUUUGCAGUGGACUACUGUAUUUUUUGCCACUGCUGAAUAUACAGACAUUCAGUACUGUAUCACUUGCAGUACUUAGAGUAAUCAAGAUGUUCACUGAACAAAGUUGUGAUUAUUACACUUUUCUCUUGUAAAAUGUGUUUACUAUUAUUACUAUUUUUUAUCUGUAUGUAAUGGAUGCUCUGUGGUGUUGAUUUUGAGAACAGAUGGAAUGGUUUUGAGGUGUGUGUUUGAUUUUGACAGAGGUGUCAGGGUUUUGUGAAUGUAGUUUGAAGAUUUGAGAAAAUGGGUGUGGGUUUCAUGAAAUGUCUUAGCAAUUAUGAAAAACGGAAAGAAAAAAGACUGGUUCAAUAGAUGGCGUUUGGUGCAGGUAAGGUGAGUGAUACAUUAACAAGGAGAUAUUUUUACUUGUGAUCAACACCAUGCAGACUGUAAAUCAGUCAGUCCACCGGCUCACUAUUCUCUUUAUGUUGUGAAACCCUACAAUAAAUAUACUAUUUGUCUUUCUGAGGGUUUAUCAGUAAGUCAAUGAGAUACAAAGAAGCAGCUUUGGAAUGUUGUGGUGUUGGUAUAAACUGCGUCAGACUGUUGAAUGCGUUUAUCUUGUCUAGACUCAAGCUGUUUUGGUUGUACUGAUUUACUUUCCCGUCUCUUCACAAUACUGCAGUCUUUUCUAUAUCCAUGUACUAAGAAAAGCUUUAUUAUAAUCGGAAUCUAAUGCCCUGACCUCUUACACCAAUGCCCAGUGGAUUUGGGAGUUGAAGAUCACAGCAAGCCAAGAUCCCUGAACUGUCUGAGGGUGUAUCUGGAGUGUGAUCAGACCAGGAAAUCUGAUCCUCUCCUGUCUCUUCUAUGUUACCUCCCUCCCCCAGGACAUGCUGGGAAAAGAUAAGUUACACAAGAACUGAGACAGCCAGGCAUCCUCAAAACAUCCCACUACCACCAUGUUGUCGUCUGGUAAAAAAAAGAAAAUGAAACAUUGCAUUCCAGUGUUGACACCAUAUUAAAAGGGCAAGCAUGGUGGUUGUAGUGUGAUGUUUUAGGGGCUCUUUGCUGGCACAGGACUGGGAAAAUGUAACAAAUGAUGGAACCAUACAUUUUGCUCUGUAACAUAGAACUCUAAACGAGAAGGAAAGGUUAUCCGUCCAGUAGAUGGAGCUGAAGUGCACCUGGGUCACUUGAAGACAAUUGCCAAACUGCUCUAUCUCGGUCCUUGCACUCCAAUGGUGGAACAAGCUCCCCCCCACUGAAAGUGUCUGCCCAUUAAGAACAUGGGAAACGUAAUCUUUUCAAUGAGUAUCUGAAGUAACUCCACAUCCACCCACUCGGUUGCCUUGGUGAACUAAUAUGUAGCUGCUACAUUGUGUGGUUUUUAUCCAGAUGUUUUAAUGAAUGCCCUCCAGAUGCACAGUCACCUUAUUUCAGAGCACGACCUCUAGGUCAGUGUUCAGAACCAAACCCAAUUAAGAUGUAAUCAUGAUCUAUAAACACCAGAUAAUGCCCACAGUUCCAAGCAUUGUUCUAUUAAAAUAUGGACCAAGCAAUGUGAGAGACUUAUAAAGAACAUAAAAAAAAUCCCUGAAUAGGCAUUCUGUCCCCACCCAAGGCAUUUGAACCUAACUGCCACUCGGGUGCUUACUGUGGCAGCUCCCUGUACCUUAUCCAUUUGAAGAGGUGGGGUCAAAUGCAAAGCUAAAAUGUGCUUGUGUGCAAAAUUACAAAUAUCCCCUUUCCCAAACCAGUGAGUGAGUCAUUACCCUGGCUGGUUAGUCCCCCUGGGCAACCAGUCAUCCACAACCAGCCUAGCAAGCCCAAGAACAGGUGCAACAACAUUCCCCCUCCCACCACACGCACAUAUAGCCCACCCUGUAAACACUAAGCCCUGGGGCCAGGCUCCGCUGCAUAUCACAAUGACAAAUGUGUACGUGGGAGAGAAGCACCUUGAAAUGCAUUCACCGUAGAUGUGCUGUAUAAAUAAAGUUUGGUUUGAUUUAGCAAUGUUUUGUUGCAGAGCACUUUAUACCUCCCUUCUCAUAUUUUCCUCCCAGGGCCUGGCUCUGUGUCCUGUGU